rnacentral:lncRNA from 1 species
UGGGGCCUUUCGACAUGUUCUAUGUGAGUUGCCCUUUCACCCAAUCUCUGCAACUAAUCCAUGUCGCUUUUAUUAAGCCGUUUCGUUAUUCUGGACAACGGUUCUAAACAUAUAUCACUUGUGAAUUUUGCAGGAGGCGCCUUCCUGCGUGUUCUAUGUGAGUUGCCCUUUCACCCAUUCUCUGGAACUAAUCCAUGUCGCUUUUAUUAAGCCGUUUCGUUAUUCUGGACAACGGUUCUAAACAUAUAUCACUUGUGAAUUUUGCAGGAGGCGCCUUCCUGCGUGUUCUAUGUGAGUUGCCCUUUCACCCAUUCUCUGGAACUAAUCAUGUCCCUUUUAAGCCAUUCGGGUAUUCUAGACAGCAAUUCUCAUAUGUAAUUGUACAUUUUGCAGACUUGUGCACCCUCUGAAUUGAGGACUGACACCAAGUACAAUGCAAGGACUGGCAACAAGUUGUCGCCACUAGUGGUUCGCAACGGCGAACUGUUUGGUGCCAGAGAGAUGAACAUGGUAAUUAACAUGUCAAAAUUACUUUGGCAAAGUACCUGUCCAAUCUAAUGCGCUUCGAUAUGUUCAUGUCUUGGUAUGCAGUACUACUACUAAUGCACCUAGAAAACAUAAAUAUUGAUACCUUGUAUGCUUAUAUUUUUCCACUUAUAUCAAUUGAUAAAUGAAGCAAAGCAUCCUAGAAUGUUACUUGAGCUUUGUCAUGUAUAAUAGGACUUUGUACAUCUACUUGGUCACUGCCCUCUCUCAUUUAUAACUGAAAUGCUAUAAGAACUUAGCCAGUAGAAGAGGAAUACCAUUGUUCACACAUCAGAGCUCUUGCUAUUUCAACCAAUAUUUGAUUUUGCAAUUUCAGAUAUCUUCGCAUUUUUUUGAUGUUAUGGUUACUGUUUCCAUACAGAGUGAGGGCGGGCCUUGGCUGUCCCCGCGGACUGAUCCACCGACUAACGUCAAGUUCUAAGCCACACAUGUGGUUUGAAUUUGGCUCUAACCUGUUUGAGAAACAAGAUUUUGUAUGGUUUGUGUGUACUCCCCUGUACAGUUCUGUUCAGAUACAAAAGUCAUACCCAAUAAAUGUUGCCUCUUCCUGCUGAUCGGGGAGGCAAAUAAGGUCCGCUUCUUCAUUUCUCUUGCCCUACCUUAUUUUAUUUAGUAGCAGUGUGCUCACUAGUUUUAACCCGCACGUUUAGCAACCAGCAACAGAUUUAAGCUUAUGUGCUUGUGAGGUGUGGAUAAACUAUAACUGGCAUUUUGUGCUCGUCUCCGUCGACCUAUCCUACUGGUGUGCUGCUGGUGCAG